CAGAGUUGCAAAACUCCCAAACCAUUGUGAACGUUACCUUUACCGUUGCUUCGGCGGGCGGCCCGGGUCCUGCCCGGCGCCCCUCGGCCCUCGCGGGCGCCCGCCGGAGGUAAACCAAACUAUUGCAUUGUAUGGCCUCUCUGAGUCUUCUGUACUGAAUAAGUCA
rnacentral:misc_RNA from 1 species